UACGUAGGGGGCAAGCGUUGUCCGGAAUCAUUGGGCGUAAAGCGCGUGUAGGCGGCCCGAUAAGUCCGCUGUGAAAGUCCAGGGCUCAACCCUGGGAUGCCGGUGGAUACUGUCGGGCUCGAGUCCGGAAGAGGAGUGUGGAAUUCCUGGUGUAGCAGUGAAAUGCGUAGAUAUCAGGAGGAACACCGAUGGCGAAGGCAGGUCUCUGGGCUGACACUGACGCUCAUGCACGAAAGCGUGGGGAGCAAACAGG
rnacentral:rRNA from 1 species